rnacentral:rRNA from 1 species
UACGUAGGGGGCAAGCGUUGUCCGGAUUCAUUGGGCGUAAAGAGCGUGUAGGCGGCCAGGUAGGUCGGUUGUGAAAACUGGAGGCUCAACCUUCAGAGGUCGACCGAAACCAUCUGGCUAGAGUCCGGGAGAGGAGAGUGGAAUUCCCAGUGUAGCGGUGAAAUGCGUAGAUAUUGGGAGGAACACCAGUGGCGAAGGCGGCUCACUGGACCACAACUGACGCUGAGGCGCGAAAGCUAGGGGAGCAAACAGG